rnacentral:lncRNA from 1 species
GAGCACCAGCAUCCACAGCUGCUUGAGGAGGAAACAUCAACAGAAAGAAAAACAAUUAAUCAUCCACUGAUGGAGGAGGAGGAUGAUGAAGAUGGAGGACAGGAGCACCAGUAUCCACAGCAUCCUGAGGAGGAAACAUCAACAGAGGACAGAGACUUCUAUUCACCAAAACAAUACAGGAGCACCAGCAUCCACAGCAUCCUGAGGAUGAAACAUCACCAGAGGACAGAAAGACUUCUAUUCACCAAAACAAUCAAUAGUUUUGCUUCAGAGGAGAAUCCGACAGUUCCAGAUGUUCGUCACCAGCACUGCAGUGUUUACACAGACUGCUUUGGUUUCAACUUUAUACAAAAAACUGUUGAACUUUCAACUCACUUUCCAUCAGAAUCCAAGCUCAUCUUCAUCACUGGGAUGUUUCUUCAUCAGUUCUUCGUACAGACUGACACAGCUCACACAUGGAGAAGAUGAUUUAUGGAAUAUGACAUUUAGACUUUUCCUUUUCUCAACAGUAUGAUGCAUACAUCCCAACCCAAAUUUAAUGCAUUUUUUUUUGGCUUAACUUGAGCCAAUUUCUAUCAAUAAAUUGCUAAUGUAUUAUUAUUGACUAUUAAUA